GGAAGUGUGCCCGAGAACCAAGGACUACUUUGAUAGAGUACCACACAGAGGGCCCCCCUCUCACUUCCU
rnacentral:tRNA from 1 species